GGUCGGGGGUGGAUGGCUUGUGAGGGGGGGCAUGGGGCACCAUGGGCUUCCCCAGGAAUGGUUUCCGAGGUCCUAGGAUUCAAAAUGACUUGGUCAAAAUGGUAACGGGAAUUUGGAGUUCACACACUUCUGUUCUAGAUAGAGCCCCAGGGGAGGUUGUACACUUUCACCCUGGACAUGUGAUCAUGGCCAUGGCUGUUGAGGGCAGGUAGACCGGGGUUUGAGUCCUGGCUCUCCUGGUUGUUGAGCCGUGUGAUUUGCCGCACAUUAUUUAACUUUUUAAACCUCAGCUUCCUCACUUGUUAAAAGGGAGGGAUGAAAAUAGUACUCACCUCAGAAGGCUGUUGUGAGAAUUAAAUAAUUCCUGUAAAGCAGGUAGCAGAGUGCUUGGCACAUAGUAAGUCUUCUAAAGAUCAUUAUUUUAUUAUAGAACUUCUUCGAUAUCUACAAGUGUUCCAGAUUAGAAAUGUAAUUUAAAAAUUGGCAUGGAUUAUUUCUUUGUAAUUAAGUUCUCUUUUUCUCAAUAAGAAAAUUUUCUUAUGUGUUUUCCUAUUAUUUUCAUAGACUCCUUGGCAUCCUGCCCUGUGCUUUUGUCUUUUACUAGGCAUCCAGGAAAAACGGAGCGAAUUCUUGUGGAAUUGAAGUACACUGAAAGUGUUUGUUACUUAAAGGUAUCUUCUGGUGGAUCGUCUUGGAAAACAUGGACCCAAAUCUUGCGAGAGCUGUCAGUGAGUCUCCCCUCCUGCUCUGCAUCUCUGAGGACCUUGCCCCAGCUCCAGAAGAAUGAAUCUGCACAGCUUGGACUGUCGCCUCUGGUGGGUCCCUGCUCUUUGAUGAGGCCUCGUCAUAACCACAGGUGAGAGUCAGGGAAGGAAUGAGGCACAGGGAAGGGAAAGGUUCAGGCCUCUGAUAAGGGUCAGAUGAGGUUUGAUAUCAGGGAUAGAGUAGGGUUAGCAGCAAGGUGAAGAUUGGAGGCGGGGUAAGGCUUUGGGAGAAGAUGGAAGCUGGAAAUUGGAGAGGGUCAGCAGCGGCAAGCGAUCGGCUGGGUGAUAUGAAUGCUCCCUUGUAACAUAAACCCAUGUUUUCACAUUUCAUUCACCUGUGUCAUAAUAGCUGUGCCAAAAUAUGUGCUUUGCCUCCUGGCCGAGUGACAGUGGCCAUCCGAAGGCAGUGACUUUCCAGAGCACAAGGACCUCUAAAGGGUCAGGCAGAUCUGGUGCUUUCCCCCUCCUGGAAAUGGAUAGAGCUGGCUGAAGACUUCUUGGGAUGAAAUUUGCCUUUUGUGCCUCAGGUGAAAUCUGACUGAUUUUGAAUGGUGUGCCCAUUUCUGGGCUUCCCACCUUCCAGAUCCCCUGGGCCAGAUUCCUAGCACCCCAGGAAGGUGCUGGGGGAUCUGGGUCUGUAGGCACUGAGAAGAUGGGGAGAGGCUCUGAUAAGCAGAAGCCUAAUAACCAGGUCUCCAGGGCUCAAGGGAAAAGCAAUUUCCUAGAUCUUUUUGCCUUUUAUCCAUUAAAGAAAAAUUGUCAAGGUCUAAGGAUGUUUCAAGAUUCCUUCUGAUGGAUUAAUUGGUUUGUUUCCCUUAAGGAAAAUUGGACACAGAGUUUCUAAUAAUCCCUCAUUACCUUUUAGAAGAAUGCUAAUACUUGAGGUAGUUUAUCUCAGGAUACUUACUGCCUUUGAACCUCAGCUUUCUCAGCUAUCAAACAAGGAAAACACUUCACACCCCACAGGUUAGUUGUGAGGCUGGUGUAAGACUACACACAUGAACCUGUUUUGUAAACUGCAGAUCGGCUACAUGGCUGGGCGUGGAGUUAUUUUAAUCAUGAUUGCUAUUUUUAGGGAGAUAAGGUCACUUAUCUGCAAAUGGGUAAGCACCACGUAUAUGAACUAUAAACUACAUCCAUCCUCUCCCAAUGUGUAAAUUCUAACCUGCACUCAAAGGAAAAACACAAAUAGACAAAUGACUAUAUUUUUUAAGGCUAUCCAGGACUAAUAUGCUCUUAAGGAAAGGUGUAAAAUUUAAUCACACAUCACACACACAUUUAUAACUGGCAAAUGAGCUCUUCACAAGAAGGCAUAGUUGGGGCUAUGGUUUCUAGAUUGAUCUUUACCAAUGCAGAUAAAAUGCACUUUCUUUAAGUUGGAGACUGAAUGCCUGCAAUUUCAGGGUUAGUGGUCAAAGAAGGUAAUAAUCUUACCGUAUAAUGCCUGGAUCCCUUUCACAUCAUCUUUGGGGAGGUGGAAUCCAUAGGGAUUCUGGUACUUAUAAGUUGGGUACAUCAGUGCUGAUGGGUCUGUGGAAUGGGCCAGGCCCAGGGCAUGACCAAAUUCAUGAGCAGCAACGGUAAACAAAUUAAAACCUAGACAAUAUGAGAGAGAAAAAAACAGUAUCACCACAGGUUUUUGUUUUCUCCAUCUUCCAUCUUUAUAGGAUAAUUUAUGCCCACAUCACAGUUAACUCAUCUCCUUUUCCUAACUGGAUUAUUCAAAUUUUGACUUGCUUCUCUGAAAAGGAAUCAGAGCUCUCACCAAUCCCUGUGCAAACUUACGCCUCUACUCCUUACCAGGGUGAGCAAUGGAAUGGAGAAGAAGUGGGAAAGUUGGAGGCAGACCUCUCACACAUCUCCCAAAAGGUGGUCUGCAAGUGUGAGCAAGACAGGAACGACACUUUCCUAACCAUUGCUGCAGGGGGAAGGCUGUAUCAAGGUCACUGUGGAAGGUAUUUCCUUCAGUGAGGAUUCAUGGUGGGAUAUUCUUGGCUAAUAUGGAGGGGGGUAUAUAAGUGAUAAACACCAUCAUGGGAAUGGAUGAGGUCAUGUGGCUAACGGGAAAGCAAAAUCUGCAAGAAUUUGUCCCCUAGUAGGGCAAAGUCAUAAUGAAAGUUUGUUACAGUGAAUCUACUCUACAGCUGUAUCUGAUGAUGACAAGACAUGCUAAGAAUUCCUAUUUUCUUGAUUCUAUUUUCCGGCCAGAGGAAGAUCAUGGCUUUGUCAUGGUCUUGGCCUUGGCCCAUCACAGUACGGUGUGAAGGAGAAGUGUGUGAUCACUCGAAUUAAAGAUGUAGAAGGAACAGUAUUGGGACAACUCUCCUUUGAAUUAGUAGAUGGAAUCCAAGUACCACAAUACCUCCAUUUUCAAAAGAUAUCAUAAUAUCCGCUUCUCCUGAGUUUAUUCUGACAAAGCUCAGAG